rnacentral:tRNA from 1 species
GCCUCGGUAGCUCAGAUGGCCAGAGCAGUGAUCUCGUAAGUCACAGGGCAGGGGUUCGAGUCCCCUCUGAGGCUCCA